UGAUUGAUUAGCCAGUACCAAAGGUCC
rnacentral:piRNA from 1 species